GCGAGGCUCCACCGGAAAAGCCUCCCUAGGUGGUCCUGGGAGUCGGGACUUCCACCUCCGGGUCCUCAUGAAUGUUCUCGCAGGCCACCAGCUCUAUUUCCCUUAUUCUCUUUCACCAAACUAUUUACCUGUCCAGUUACAACGUGCAAGGUGGUUCCCCAAGGGGCAGUGCUUGUCAAGGUGUUUUCCGGACUGAAGAAGGAGGACUGUAUUGACAUGGUCUUUAGCAACUGCCUGUGAAAUAACUGCAGUCCUGUUGGUGAGAAAUCUUUGAAACAAAUUCAUUAGGCAUAACAGUAAUAAACAGAUGAGCAAAAAGAAGGAAAUAGAC
rnacentral:lncRNA from 1 species